ACGGCCUCCAAAGACCAUGAUCCAUCACAUCUGAGAAAUGACCCCCAGCUAGGUGUUUGUGUCAGAAACACCCACUGGUGGUGCAAUAGCUAGAUGGGACCGGUGACGUGGACUCUGAUACCACAACAUGUACUGAGGACACUCUGAGUCAACACAGUGAUGGGCUAACAAAGAUAAGGAUUCGUUGUUUGGGGUGCACCACCGCCUGGGCUCUCCUCCCUGAGCACAGGGUGUCCUGUGAUAACGCCGGGAGAACAUAGCGUGCCCACGCAGGAGCAGCUUUUGACCCAGCCAGGGCAAUCCCUCAACAGCGCAGUGCCCAGCAGGCCCAAGAGGAGAGCACCCCUCCACCCCCCUUUGUCCUGUUGCACUUUCCUCUCCCAAAUCAAAUCCAUGCGACACAUGAGAGAAUUCAGGGGCAAUGACCUCUCAGAUGACUUCUGACCUUCAGCUUUUGGCACAGGGGUGUGGCUAACAUGCCAGCCUGGCCCACACUGGUGCUGGCCAGCACUCCUUUGGAGACACUAAUCCAUGGGCAGAGGAGUCUGCUAUCUUCCGGUCACCUGAGGAGCAAGAGGGAGCCGGGGGAGCCUCAGGCCUGAAACUGUGCUGGGGUCUUGGGGUACCUUUGGGAGAUAUUGCUGUGGGCUGUACCAGAGCCCAGAAAACACCCUCUUCGGCCCUGGCAGGGGACUCUAAGUGCACUGUUCUCCUGUGUAUAAGCGCUUCAGUCGUGCCAAGUGGUAAAAACUGGAUCCGGGAGCAACUCUGAUCACAAGGUCUAAGUCAAAGGAAUGAAUCUCUAUGGAGAAAUUUCAAGUCUCAGUCACAGAUAAAGACAUCUGAUGAAAAGGCUUCUGAUGUCACACUCUGGGUUUAGUU